GGAAAUAGCUCCAUCAUUAGAUCGUACCCUAAACCAACACAGGUGGACUGGUAGAGAAUACCAAGGCGCUUGAGAGAACGAUGUUGAAGGAACUCGGCAAAAUACCUCCGUAAGUUCGCGAGAAGGAGGCCCAGUUUCUACGCAAGUAUUGACUGGGGGCACAAACCAGGGGGUGGCGACUGUUUACUAAAAACACAGGGCUCUGCGAAGUCGCAAGACGACGUAUAGGGUCUGACGCCUGCCCGGUGCCUGAAGGUUAAAAGGAGAGGUGAGAGCCUUGAAUUGAAGCCCAGGUAAACGGCGGCCGUAACUAUAACGGUCCUAAGGUAGCGAAAUUCCUUGUCGGGUAAGUUCCGACCUGCACGAAUGGCGUAACGACUUCCCCGCUGUCUCCAACAUCGACUCAGCGAAAUUGAAUUGCCUGUCAAGAUGCAGGCUUCCCGCGGUUAGACGGAAAGACCCCGUGCACCUUUACUACAGCUUCACAUUGGCAUCAGGCACAACAUGUGCAGGAUAGGUGGUAGGCUUUGAAGCGCAGACUCCAGUUUGCGUGGAGCCAUCCUUGAGAUACCACCCUUGUUCUGCUUGAUGUCUAACCGCGGUCCGUUAUCCGGAUCCGGGACCCUGUGUGGCGGGUAGUUUGACUGGGGCGGUCGCCUCCUAAAGCGUAACGGAGGCGCGCGAAGGUUGGCUCAGAGCGGUCGGAAAUCGCUCGUUGAGUGCAAUGGCAGAAGCCAGCCUGACUGCGAGACUGACAAGUCGAGCAGAGUCGAAAGACGGCCAUAGUGAUCCGGUGGUCCCGAGUGGAAGGGCCAUCGCUCAACGGAUAAAAGGUACGCCGGGGAUAACAGGCUGAUGGUGCCCAAGAGUCCAUAUCGACGGCACCGUUUGGCACCUCGAUGUCGGCUCAUCUCAUCCUGGGGCUGGAGCAGGUCCCAAGGGUACGGCUGUUCGCCGUUUAAAGAGGUACGUGAGCUGGGUUUAGAACGUCGUGAGACAGUUCGGUCCCUAUCUGCCGUGGGUGUAGGAUACUUGAGAGGAGUUGCCCCUAGUACGAGAGGACCGGGGUGAACGAUCCACUGGUGUACCAGUUGUUCCGCCAGGAGCAGUGCUGGGUAGCUAUGAUCGGACAGGAUAACCGCUGAAGGCAUCUAAGCGGGAAGCCCCCCUCAAAACAAGGUAUCCCUGAGAGCCGUGGAAGACCACCACGUCGAUAGGCCGGAGAUGUAAGUGCGGUAACGCACUCAGUUGACCGGUACUAAUUGCUCGAUAGGCUUGAU
rnacentral:rRNA from 1 species